rnacentral:tRNA from 1 species
GCUCCAGUAGCUCAGUCGGAUAGAGCAACUGCCUUCUAAGCAGUAGGUCGGAGGUUCGAUUCCCCCCUGGGGCACCA